CCUACGGGAGGCAGCAGUGGGGAAUAUUGGACAAUGGGGGGAACCCUGAUCCAGCGACGCCGCGUGAGUGAAGAAGUAUUUCGGUAUGUAAAGCUCUAUCAGCAGGGAAGAAAAUGACGGUACCUGACUAAGAAGCCCCGGCUAACUACGUGCCAGCAGCCGCGGUAAGACGUAGGGGGCAAGCGUUAGCCGGAUUUACUGGGUGUAAAGGGGGCGUAGACGGUGCAGCAAGUCUGAUGUGAAAGGUCGGGGCCCAACCCCGGGACUGCAUUGGAAACUGUUGAACUGGAGUACAGGAGAGGUAAGCGGAACUCCUAGUGUAGCGGUGAAAUGCGUAGAUAUUAGGCGGAACACCAGUGGCGAAGGCAGCUUACUGGACUGUAACUGACGUUGAGGCUCGAAAGCGUGGGGAGCAAACAGGAUUAGAUACCCUUGUAGUC
rnacentral:rRNA from 1 species